GUCUCUUUGCUACUUCAAAAUAAAGAGUCGAACCUGCCCAGUGACGAAAUGUUAAACGGCCGCGGUACUCUGACCGUGCAAAGGUAGCAUAAUCAUUUGCCUUUUAAUUAAGGGCUUGUAUGAAUGGUCUGACGAGAACUAAACUGUCUCUCUAAAAAUAUUUAAAAAUUAACUUCUAGGUGAAGAGGCCUAAAUAUAACUAAGGGACAAGAAGACCCUGUUGAGCUUUAGUAACAUUGUAGGCAUUUCUUUCCCACUUGCUGAAAUCAAUCCCUACAACCAAAUCUUUAGUUGGGGCGACUAAGGAAAAUCUUAAACUUCCUUUAUAUUCUACCAUCAAAACACUCUCGUUACUAAGAUCCAGUAAUUUACUGAUCAAAGGAAAAAGCUACCACAGGGAUAACAGCGUAAUUUUUCUAAAGAGCCCUUAUCGAAAGAAAAGUUUACGACCUCGAUGUUGGACUAAGAUAUCCUGAAAGUGCAGCAACUUUCAAUGUGUUGGUCUGUUCGACCAUUAAAAUCUU
rnacentral:rRNA from 1 species